GAGAGAAGGAAUACUUGUGAUUGCCGCCGAUGAUCAUCUGGGUGUCUGCCACCAGGUACAGGCUGAACAAGAAAGCCCCGAGCGAAGAGUAGAUGAGCAUCAUGAGCCUUCCAGGGAAGAACAUGACGACAAUGCCGAAUAUGAAGAGGAUGAUCAAGCCACCCAGCAGUGCUCCGCGCAGCACCGUGAAGUCCCAUUUGGUCUGGAAGGCGAAUAAGCGACAGACCCAAGCAUGAAGCCGCUUGCCACUGUGAAGAUGAAAAGGAAAAUAAAGUUGGUGGGGUAGUUCCGUCGCACGCUUGUGAAGCAGGUCAUGGCGAAAAUGGUCGCGAACAUGACGAUGACUGAUAUCCACCAGAUAUGACUAUUUCUUAGUAUGUAUUGCUUCGUCGGUUCGUGAAACACGAAGAGGCUGAUGAUCCCGAAUGUCAACAAUAGCUGGAUCAUCAGAAUGGAAUAAACUUUCCUGCGGACAAUAAAUGCAGUGUAAACCCUUACUAAAUAUGCCAAGAUUUAAAAAGUCAUUAGAAGUACCAUUAUUAAAUUAUAUAUAUCUUCUGUGGUUAAUUAAGUUCUAAUUUAUCUGGCUAACUUUAUAACAACAUGAAAACUAUGGUAAAAUUACAUAAUUGUUUGUUAUGUUUUACUUACUUGUUUUUACAAAAAGAAUUGUUCUAUUUAUCGCUUGUGAAGUUUUUUCUCAUUCAGAUGUCAAAUAAGUAAUAUUAUAUAUUUUAUCUUAAAUAUAGCCGUGCUCUAAAUUUAACUUAUUGUUGGCAAGGACAUAUAAGGGCCUAAACUAUAAUUUUACUUACACCUUAGUUGUAGCUAUGUUUAAUAUAGGCCUACGUGCUGUUUUGCCAAGCUGUAUUUUGGGAAGAUAGUUUUUUACCACUUUCAAGAUGUACACAGCAUAUUGUGAUACAAGGCAGCACAUCUACCGUAGGUCUCACAUUUUUUCUGAAUUUAUCAAUAUCAUAGUCACUUUAAAUUAUUUCUUCAUUACUUAUUUAUUUUUAAGAUAUGUUGUUGGCAUUUUGGUUUCCAUGUAAGCCAAAUUGAGUUUGUGUGUAAGUUAAGGUAAUUAUAUACACUAAUGUAUGAUCAAACAUACAUGUAUACAUACAAACACUUGAAUCGACUUAAGUAAAUUUCCAAAAAUAAAGGGUUAAAGAAAA